rnacentral:rRNA from 1 species
GAUGAACGCUGGCGGCGUGCCUAAUACCUGCAAGUCGAGAGAAGCGGGGACGGGUGAGUAACACGUGGAUAACAUCCUAUAAGACUGGGAUAACUUCGGGAAACCGGAGCUAAACCGGAAACUUAUCGAUGGAUCCGCUCUGCAUUAGCGAGUUGGUAUGGUAACGGCUUACCAAGGCAACGAUGCAUAGCCGACCGGAGAGGGUGAUCGGCCACACUGGAACUGAGACACGGUCCAGACUCCUACGGGAGGCAGCAGUAGGGAAUCGUCCGCAAUGGGCGAAAGCCUGACGGAGCAACGCCGCGUGAGUGAUGAAGGUCUUCGGAUCGUAAAACUCUGUUAUUAGGGAAGCGGGACCUAAUCAGAAAGCCCCGGCUAACUACGUGCCAGCAGCCGCGUUAAUUC